UACGUAGGGGGCAAGCGUUGUCCGGAAUCAUUGGGCGUAAAGAGCUCGUAGGCGGUUUGUUGCGUCGGCUGUGAAAUCCCGAGGCUCAACCUCGGGUCUGCAGUCGAUACGAGCAAACUAGAGUGUUGCAGGGGAGACUGGAAUUCCCGGUGUAGCGGUGAAAUGCGCAGAUAUCGGGAGGAACACCGGUGGCGAAGGCGGUUCUCUGGGCCUGUACUGACGCUGAGGAGCGAAAGCGUGGGGAGCGAACAGG
rnacentral:rRNA from 1 species